rnacentral:rRNA from 1 species
GGCGGGCCUAACACAUGCAAGUCGCACGAGAAAAGGGCUUCGGCCCCGAGUAAAGUGGCGGACGGGUGAGUAACACGUGGGUAAUCUGCCUUUCAGCGGGGGAUAACUGUCCGAAAGGAUAGCUAAUACCGCAUACGUCGUCGAUGGUUUCGAUCGUUGACGGGAAAGCCGGCCUCUCCAUGGAAGCUGGCACUGAAAGAGGAGCCCGCGGCCCAUCAGCUAGUUGGUAGGGUAAUGGCCUACCAAGGCUUAGACGGGUAGCUGGUCUGAGAGGAUGAUCAGCCACACUGGGACUGAGACACGGCCCAGACUCCUACGGGAGGCAGCAGUGGGGAAUAUUGGGCAAUGGGCGCAAGCCUGACCCAGCCACGCCGCGUGAGUGAUGAAGGCCUNCGGGUCGUAAAGCUCUGUGGGGA